rnacentral:rRNA from 1 species
UACGUAGGGGGCAAGCGUUGUCCGGAUUUAUUGGGCGUAAAGAGCUCGUAGGCGGUCUGUCGCGUCUGCUGUGAAAACUCAGGGCUUAACCCUGAGCUUGCAGUGGGUACGGGCAGACUAGAGUGUGGUAGGGGAGACUGGAAUUCCUGGUGUAGCGGUGAAAUGCGCAGAUAUCAGGAGGAACACCGAUGGCGAAGGCAGGUCUCUGGGCCACUACUGACGCUGAGAAGCGAAAGCAUGGGGAGCGAACAGG